AGAUUGAACGCUGGCGGCAUGCCUAACACAUGCAAGUCGAACGGGAGUAGCAAUACUCUAGUGGCGGACGGGUGAGGAAUACGUAGGAAUUUGCCCUUAAGUGGGGGAUAACCCGGGGAAACCCGGAUUAAUACCGCAUGACCUCGAAAGAGCAAAGUGGGGGAUCGCAAGACCUCACGCUUUUGGAGAAGCCUACGUCGGAUUAGCUAGUUGGUGAGGUAAUGGCUCACCAAGGCGACGAUCCGUAACUGGUCUGAGAGGAUGAUCAGUCACACCGGAACUGAGACACGGUCCGGGCUCCGUACGGGAGCAGCAGUGGGGAAUAUUGGACAAGUGGGCGCAAGCCUAGAUCCAGCAAUGCCGCGUGUGUGAAGAA
rnacentral:rRNA from 1 species